rnacentral:rRNA from 1 species
UUUUUGUGGAGGGUUCGAUUCUGGCUCAGGAUGAACGCUGGCGGCGUGCUUAACACAUGCAAGUCGAACGGGAUCCAUCGGGCUUUGCUUGGUGGUGAGAGUGGCGAACGGGUGAGUAAUGCGUGACCGACCUG